AGUGAACGCUGGCGGUAGGCCUAACACAUGCAAGUCGAGCGGCGGCACAGGAGAGCUUGCUCUCUGGGUGGCGAGUGGCGGACGGGUGAGGAAUACAUCGGAAUCUACUCUGUCGUGGGGGAUAACGUAGGGAAACUUACGCUAAUACCGCAUACGACCUACGGGUGAAAGCAGGGGACCUUCGGGCCUUGCGCGAUUGAAUGAGCCGAUGUCGGAUUAGCUAGUUGGCGGGGUAAAGGCCCACCAAGGCGACGAUCCGUAGCUGGUCUGAGAGGAUGACCAGCCAAGCUGGAACUGAGACACGGUCCAGACUCCUACGGGAGGCAGCAGUGGGGAAUAUUGGACAAUGGGCGCAAGCCUGAUCCAGCCAUACCGCGUGGGUGAAGAAGGCCUUCGGGUUGUAAAGCCCUUUUGUUGGGAAAGAAAUCCAGCUGGCUAAUACCCGGUUGGGAUGACGGUACCCAAAGAAUAAGCACCGGCUAACUACGUGCCAGCCGCCGCGGUAA
rnacentral:rRNA from 1 species